AUUCUUUUGUAAAGGUCUUGGCCAGGGGUGGGUAUUUAUUUUUUAAUUGAUAUUUGAGGUUGGGUAAUCAAACUUUUUGCUUUUUAAUGGUUGGGUCAGCAAAAUUUUUACCAGGAAAAACAUUUCUCUUCGGUGCCACCCCCCACCAUAAAUAAUGAUCCGUCCCUAAUUAAUAGAGUACAUGCAUGCAUGGUACAUAAACUAUUGUUCUGAAAGCCUUUCAGCCCGUUCUUUGUUAAUUAAUAUAGAAAACCAAAUAGAAGAAGAUGAAUUAAUUGCUUUAACAGAAAGAGAAGACGUUCAGGACGAACGUCUUAUACUUGUGGUAGGUCAUAAAAUGAAAUUUUUUGAAGGCUCUGAUGGGGGAUUGUAAAACCAUUAGCCUGCGAGCAGGCUCUCAUCUUCGAGCCUGAUCGCAGGCUAAAUUCCCAUAUAAUUAUUUUAAAUUUAAAAACUCCCAGCAAAAUAUACAAAAGGACUUGAGACUCGACUUGAGCACAGAGUAGAGACAUAUUCCAUAUUUAAUUUAAAAUUAAACUGCCAGCAAAAUAUACAAAAGGACUUGAGGUGAGU
rnacentral:lncRNA from 1 species